AAUUGUUAGAUAAUUAAUUAAGGUUUUAUGGAAUAAUGGUGUGGAAUCUAAAACCUCAGUUAUUUUUCUAAUUCAUUUAAACCUUAUUUUAGUUUUUUUGCAUUUUCAAUUCUAUGCUUUAUUUCAUUUUCUUUUCCAACAAACAAAUCAAACUUUGAAUCAACUAGGUUAGCAAUUGAAUUAAGUUGGGUUGGAUUAGUUUUCCAUCUUUUUCAUGCACUCCCUGUGGGUAUGACCUCGCAC
rnacentral:lncRNA from 1 species